rnacentral:misc_RNA from 1 species
UUUCCGUAGGUGAACCUGCGGAAGGAUCAUUACCGAGUUCAUGCCCCCCGGGGUAGAUCUCCCACCCGUGUUUGUCCUACCACGUUGCUUUGGCAGGUCGUCUCUCCGAACCACCGGCCCCCGCGCGGGUGCGCGCCUGCCAGAGGUCCCCCAACCCGUCGUCUCCGUAUCGUCCGAGUACCACACAAUUUGAAAAAACUUUCAACAACGGAUCUCUUGGCUCUGGCAUCGAUGAAGAACGCAGC